GUUAAUCCGGUUUUAUUGAAGUAUUAAAUUAGUGUAAUUUGUGUUGCAGAGAUGAUUGUUGCCGCUUACUUGUUGGUUGCCGUGGGCGGUAAAGCUUUCCCUACUGCCGAUGAUGUCAAAAAAAAUUCUUGGAUCAGGGAUAGCCCAAUACAGUUUGUCAACCUUACGGUGUUGGAUUACCAAUGUUGCUGCAUCUAUAGCUUGGAAAUUUCCCAUAAUUCUCUGUUUAUCUCUCCUCCUGCUUCAUAGAGUUUCAUGGUCAUGGAGGUGUAUGUGUCAGGCCGCUCAACCUUUUUUACCUCAUGAUCACAGCACAGGCUAGGGAAAGAUUAAAGGUCAAGGCUUGAGUUACAAAGAGAUUCAAAUUAGAUGAUUUUUUGCUUUCAGAAAUAAGAAGAAAAAAAUGAGGCCAAGCUUUUGUGGAAACUUUAAUUUUGAUGCACGUUCUUCUGAUCUGGAGCGCCUUUUCAGAUGAUAUGGCAAAGUUGAUAGAGUGGAUAGGAAGUUUGGUAACAGAUAAGAUGAUGCAGCAAGUUGAACAUAUCUUCCCACAUAACACUCCAAAAACUAUGCAUACAUAUCUUUGAGUGGUUGUAAUUGGUACGUACACUUAUGUAUGAUGAUGUAUCUCUAGCGAGAAAGGUAUGUCUUACUGCUUAUUUUCUAUUGUCAUCAGAUUAUGAUCCAACUGAGACUGUUGGCAAAAGUAACAUCCAUCAUCUCUGAUGAUAAGUCCAUUUUUCCUUUGAAGGAACAUCCUUUGAUGACAAAGGAGGUGAUUAUAUUUAGUUUAUCAUGUCACAUUUGUCCUGAUGUACUUACCUGUCUUCUUUUAGUUUUGAUUCUUUGCAAGGUCUUAACCCUAUGUGAAGACCUUCACCAUGGGAAGCAAGAGUUUAGGCAGCUUUUGUAAGUUCUUUUCUGCUAUUUUAAAGCAAAGAGAAAUGCACAUGAAGAUUAAAAUUUCCACCAGGUGUUUGCAGAUAGAGUGCUCUCAGCAAAAAUUGACAUUGGGUUUGGAUAUUAUGACAAUUCAUGAAAGGAUAUCAUCAACCACAAGUCCCCAAGCAUACCUAUAUUCAAGAAGAUGUAUAUUUCAAGUAAUGGUCGUGUAAUCAAGAAAUCAAUGAAGUGGGAACUUAGUGUGUGGUCUUGUCUUGUUUCUUUUGUAUUAUAUGUAAUUUUUUUUUAAAUCUACAAGAAUGGAUGUAAUACAUGGUUAAUUGCUAUGAGAUGCUUACUUGAUACAAUUGAGAAAUGA